UACAGAGGUGCCAAGCGUUGUUCGGAUUUAUUGGGCGUAAAGGGUGCGUAGGUGGUGAUGCAAGUCGGGUGUGAAAUCCCGGAGCCUAACUCCGGAACUGCAUUCGAAACUGCAUCGCUCGAGGCCUGGAGAGGUGACUGGAAUUCUCGGUGUAGCAGUGAAAUGCGUAGAUAUCGAGAGGAACACCAGAGGCGAAAGCGAGUCACUGGACAGAGCCUGACACUGAGGCACGAAAGCUAGGGGAGCAAACGGG
rnacentral:rRNA from 1 species